CAGGUCUUAGCUAAGUGGUUACUACAACAGAAUCAAAAUCUGUUUCCCUUCGAUUGCGCAGGUUCAAAACCUGCCGGUUUCU